rnacentral:rRNA from 1 species
AAAUUGAAGAGUUUGAUCAUGGCUCAGAUUGAACGCUGGCGGCAGGCCUAACACAUGCAAGUCGAACGGUAACAGGAAGCAGCUUGCUGCUUUGCUGACGAGUGGCGGACGGGUGAGUAAUGUCUGGGAAACUGCCUGAUGGAGGGGGAUAACUACUGGAAACGGUAGCUAAUACCGCAUAACGUCGCAAGACCAAAGAGGGGGACCUUCGGGCCUCUUGCCAUCGGAUGUGCCCAGAUGGGAUUAGCUUGUUGGUGGGGUAACGGCUCACCAAGGCGACGAUCCCUAGCUGGUCUGAGAGGAUGACCAGCCACACUGGAACUGAGACACGGUCCAGACUCCUACGGGAGGCAGCAGUGGGGAAUAUUGCACAAUGGGCGCAAGCCUGAUGCAGCCAUGCCGCGUGUAUGAAGAAGGCCUUCGGGUUGUAAAGUACUUUCAGCGGGGAGGAAGGGAGUAAAGUUAAUACCUUUGCUCAUUGACGUUACCCGCAGAAGAAGCACCGGCUAACUCCGUGCCAGCAGCCGCGGUAAUACGGAGGGUGCAAGCGUUAAUCGGAAUUACUGGGCGUAAAGCGCACGCAGGCGGUUUGUUAAGUCAGAUGUGAAAUCCCCGGGCUCAACCUGGGAACUGCAUCUGAUACUGGCAAGCUUGAGUCUCGUAGAGGGGGGUAGAAUUCCAGGUGUAGCGGUGAAAUGCGUAGAGAUCUGGAGGAAUACCGGUGGCGAAGGCGGCCCCCUGGACGAAGACUGACGCUCAGGUGCGAAAGCGUGGGGAGCAAACAGGAUUAGAUACCCUGGUAGUCCACGCCGUAAACGAUGUCGACUUGGAGGUUGUGCCCUUGAGGCGUGGCUUCCGGAGCUAACGCGUUAAGUCGACCGCCUGGGGAGUACGGCCGCAAGGUUAAAACUCAAAUGAAUUGACGGGGGCCCGCACAAGCGGUGGAGCAUGUGGUUUAAUUCGAUGCAACGCGAAGAACCUUACCUGGUCUUGACAUCCACGGAAGUUUUCAGAGAUGAGAAUGUGCCUUCGGGAACCGUGAGACAGGUGCUGCAUGGCUGUCGUCAGCUCGUGUUGUGAAAUGUUGGGUUAAGUCCCGCAACGAGCGCAACCCUUAUCCUUUGUUGCCAGCGGUCCGGCCGGGAACUCAAAGGAGACUGCCAGUGAUAAACUGGAGGAAGGUGGGGAUGACGUCAAGUCAUCAUGGCCCUUACGACCAGGGCUACACACGUGCUACAAUGGCGCAUACAAAGAGAAGCGACCUCGCGAGAGCAAGCGGACCUCAUAAAGUGCGUCGUAGUCCGGAUUGGAGUCUGCAACUCGACUCCAUGAAGUCGGAAUCGCUAGUAAUCGUGGAUCAGAAUGCCACGGUGAAUACGUUCCCGGGCCUUGUACACACCGCCCGUCACACCAUGGGAGUGGGUUGCAAAAGAAGUAGGUAGCUUAACCUUCGGGAGGGCGCUUACCACUUUGUGAUUCAUGACUGGGGUGAAGUCGUAACAAGGUAACCGUAGGGGAACCUGCGGUUGGAUCACCUCCUUAUCUUAAAGAAGC